UCGAAAGUAUGGGUAGCAAACAGGAUUAGAUACCCUGGUAGUCCAUACCGUAAACGAUGAAUGCUAAGUGUGGAGGGUUCCGCCUUCAGUGCUGCAGCUAACGCAUUAAGCAUUCCGCUGGGGAGUACGGCCGCAAGGCUGAAACUCAAAGGAAUUGACGGGGGCCCGCACAGCGGUGGAGCAUGUGGUUUAAUUCGAGCUACGCGAAGGACCUUACCAGGUCUUGACAUACUAUGCAAAUCUAAGAGAUUAGACGUUCCCUUCGGGGACAUGGAUACAGGUGGUGCAUGGUUGUCGUCAGCUCGUGUCGUGAGAUGUUGGGUUAAGUCCCGCAACGAGCGCAACCCUUAUUAUCAGUUGCCAGCAUUAAGUUGGGCACUCUGGUGAGACUGCCGGUGACAAACCGGAGGAAGGUGGGGAUGACGUCAAAUCAUCAUGCCCCUUAUGACCUGGGCUACACACGUGCUACAAUGGAUGGUACAACGAGUUGCGAACUCGCGAGAGUAAGCUAAUCUCUUAAAGCCAUUCUCAGUUCGGAUUGUAGGCUGCAACUCGCCUACAUGAAGUCGGAAUCGCUAGUAAUCGCGGAUCAGCAUGCCGCGGUGAAUACGUUCCCGGGCCUUGUACACACCGCCCGUCACACCAUGAGAGUUUGUAACACCCAAAGUCGGUGGGGUAACCUUUAGGAACCAGCCGCCUAAGGUGGGACAGAUGAUUAGGGUGAAGUCGUAACAAGGUAACCA
rnacentral:rRNA from 1 species